rnacentral:lncRNA from 1 species
GUAAGCCACCUUGCUUCAGUCGUUAAAUUGUUUAAAAUUUAACUCGCAUAGCUAUAGCUCCUUUUCGAGUGCCUGCACUCUGUUCUAUGCUUUUGGCCUUGAUCUAACAUAUCUACCAAAGGUUGCAGAAGGUUUAAAGAAAAAAAAAAAAAAGUUUGCCCAAGGGCUAUGAUAAAGGAUAUUUGUCUUUGAGUGAAAUGCUCGUGUCUCUCACCCCUAAGUUUGGUGAAUCUCAUGAAUACACAUGGAAGUUUUUUGUGCCCUCAUUGCUUCUGCUUUUUCAAUAAUUCAGUUCACCUCCGAAAAUCCUGUUCCUUUCAGAUGUUCUGUAAUUAGAUGAGCAAAAGUUGAAAAGCCUGCGGAAAUGUACUUCUUAAGAUCGGAAUGACCAUGACUCACAGCCAAAGUUCACCUUCACGUCUGCUUUGGUGGCCUAGGCGGUGUGAACGGAUGGCAGCCUCCGUCUGAGGAGGGUUGAGCAUGGGUCUUAUGGAGAGAGAAGCAGAAACGGACAUGAGUCCAAGCUGGAGGAGAGACCUUCCCUAGCACCUGGGCGCCAUCACCUGAAUGCACUGGGGGCUUCUUGUGGAUGCAAAGCCUUGACAGCCUGGACCUGCCUCACCACCCUCCUGCCCCCCUGCCUGGGCAGUGAGGACUUUUCAGCCACAC